rnacentral:rRNA from 1 species
ACGAUUAAAGCUCUCUCUCGGAGAGUGCAUAGAGUGGCGCACGGGUGAGUAACACGUAAGUAAUCUACCUUCGAGUGGGGAAUAACAACCGGAAACGGUUGCUAAUACCGCAUAAUGCAGCGGCAUCGCAAGAUGACAGUUGUUAAAGAUUUAUCGCUUGAAGAGGAGCUUGCGGCAGAUUAGCUAGUUGGUAAGGUAAUGGCUUGCCAAGGCUACGAUCUGUAACCGGUCUAAGAGGACGGUCGGUCACACUGACACUGAACAACGGGUCAGACUCCUACGGGAGGCAGCAGUCGGGAAUUUUGGGCAAUGGGCGAAAGCCUGACCCAGCAACGCCGCGUGAAGGAUGAAGUAUUUCGGUAUGUAAACUUCGAAAGAAUGGGAAGAAUAAAUGACGGUACCAUUUAUAAGGUCCGGCUAACUACGUGCCAGCAGCCGCGGUAAUACGUAGGGACCAAGCGUUGUUCGGAUUUACUGGGCGUAAAGGGCGCGUAGGCGGCGUGGCAAGUCACUUGUGAAAUCUCCGGGCUUAACUCGGAACGGCCAAGUGAAACUGCCAUGCUAGAGUGCAGAAGGGGCAAUCGGAAUUCUUGGUGUAGCGGUGAAAUGCGUAGAUAUCAAGAGGAACACCUGAGGUGAAGACGGGUUGCUGGGCUGACACUGACGCUGAGGCGCGAAAGCCAGGGGAGCAAACGGGAUUAGAUACCCCGGUAGUCCUGGCCCUAAACGAUGAAUACUUGGUGUCUG